AACUAAGUUUGUUCUUGGUAUGAGCUUUCAUGUGCAUGCACACUUCUUCAGAUACACAUGUGCAUGCACACAAAAGCUCAUACCAAGAACAAACUUAGUUGG